GAUGAACGCUGGCGGCGUGCUUAACACAUGCCAGUCGAACGGAAAGGCUCCUGCUUGCAGGGGUACUCGAGUGGCGAACGGGUGAGUAACACGUGGGUGAUCUGCCCUGCACUUCGGGAUAAGCCUGGGAAACUGGGUCUAAUACCGGAUAGGACGAUGGUUUGGAUGCCAUUGUGGAAAGUUUUUCGGUGUGGGAUGAGCUCGCGGCCUAUCAGCUUGUUGGUGGGGUAAUGGCCUACCAAGGCGUCGACGGGUAGCCGGCCUGAGAGGGUGUACGGCCACAUUGGGACUGAGAAACGGCCCAGACUCCUACGGGGGGCAGCAGGGGGGAAUAUUGCACAAUGGGCGCAAGCCUGAUGCAGCGACGCCGGGGGGGGGAUGACGGCCUUCGGGUUGUAAACUCCUUUCGCUAGGGACGAAGCGCAAGUGACGGUACCGGGAGAAGAAGCACCGGCUAACUACGU
rnacentral:rRNA from 1 species